UUGUGAUGUUAGUAUCUAGUGUUAAGCAAUAAUGUUAAGUGAGGGGUAAGCAAUAAUGUGCCUUCUAUAAUUGUAUUAAGGUGCAUCGAUUUUAUUCGCUACAAAUGGUCACCUAUUUGGGCCUGCUUGCCAUCUGCUCAGUUGGUCCAGUGGUGUGAGGGCUUGACUAACAAGCUUGGGGCACCCGGUUCAAUCCCCGCAGCGGGCGAACUUUUUCCAUGUUUAUUUGUUUAUUUUGUGCAUUAGUGUUUAGAUUUAGAAUUUUGGUUGCGGUCAUGACGAGAAAUCAACAAAAAUUAAAUUGAACGGACACUUGAGCUCGUGACGGCGACUCGGGUAAACAUCCUCCGCUGUUCUUGUGAAAUGUAAUAUGGAAUAUUCAUUAAGUAUACCGAAAUUGUUUAAAUGUGCAAUCUGGAAAUCCAACUAGCUGGAGUGAUUAUAUUUUGUUUAUAUUGUGUGUGCCGUUUCAACUACACUAAGGGCUUAACGAAACGCCCUUUUGGUGCACAGCAAAUAUUGUUAUUUGAAGAUUGGGCUAGCUAAAAGGACAGGCAGUGGGUAGGCAGCGGCACCCAGUCGACCAUCAGACUAAACGCUCCUGGCGUCCAACUAGUUUUAGGAUAGUUAAGUUUCAUUGUACGUAGAGGAUAAUAAACGUAGUUUUAACAUUUAUUGUGCCUUGAUUUAUGCCCUUGUCAGCCCGUAACAGUGGCGCUCAACGUAAAAACGUUUGGUUGGCAAGAGGGUGACACAGUCCAAAGGUCGUUGCGGUGAAUUACAAGUUUGCAUCGAAGUUUGCUCGCGGUUUGAAUGUUAACGGUUUAUAUAAUUUUAAGUUAUUUUGUACGUUUGUUUUAUUUCAUGUGUUGUUUUUGUAGUUUAAGAUAUACUCUUAUUAGGUAUAGCUUUUAGGUUGGCUUAGUGUGUUAGUUUAAAUAAGUAGUUUUACAUCGUGUUUUUUUUAUUUUAUUCUUUUGGUGUUUUUUUUUUGUUUUUGAUUAUUUUGGUUGAUGAAAUUUUGUAAACUAUCAAAAUUAUUUAUUUUGCAUAGAUAUUGGGUUUGUAUAUACAUAAUAGUGUUUUUUUAUUGUAGUUAGUUUGGUAGCUUUUUGCAAUGGAGCCAAAUUAUUUGUUAAAAGACGAGUUACAGUAUGAACUUGCUUGCCGGGGUAUUGUUUUGAAAACGGCAACUGUACCGGUUAUGAAAAAGCUGUUGACUGAAUUGAUGCGUUCGGGGGUUGCGCUGGGUCCUGAGUUGGAACUGAAGGCUCCGAAAGAAGCUUCUGUCAAAUUUGAGCUGGAGGUGUGCUCAGCAAAAAUACAGGUUCUGUCAAAUUACAUUACGGAGCUUACUGGCAAGCCAGAUAGGGCUUUAU